rnacentral:misc_RNA from 1 species
GCGAAGAACCGGCGUCCCGCUCCGGCGGCGCCCUUCGUCUUCCACCCUGUGCAUCGUGACCCUUUUUUCGCGCUUGAAAAAGUCGAGGAUGUCUACUAUGAUAACAAUGGCA